GGAAUAUUGCACAAUGGGGGAAACCCUGAUGCAGCGACGCCGCGUGAGUGAAGAAGUAUUUCGGUAUGUAAAGCUCUAUCAGCAGGGAAGAAAAUGACGGUACCUGCACAAGAAGCCCCGGCUAACUACGUGCCAGCAGCCGCGGUAAUACGUAGGGGGCAAGCGUUAUCCGGAUUUACUGGGUGUAAAGGGAGCGCAGACGGUCAUGCAAGUCUGAUGUGAAAGGCAUGGGCUUAACCCGUGGACUGCAUUGGAAACUGUAUGACUGGAGUGCCGGAGAGGUAAGCGGAAUUCCUAGUGUAGCGGUGAAAUGCGUAGAUAUUAGGAGGAACACCAGUGGCGAAGGCGGCUUACUGGACGGUAACUGACGUUGAGGCUCGAAAGCGUGGGGAGCAAACA
rnacentral:rRNA from 1 species